ACAUGAGUGGGUAGAUGAGUACAAUCUA
rnacentral:piRNA from 1 species